rnacentral:rRNA from 1 species
AUUGAACGCUGGCGGCAGGCCUAACACAUGCAAGUCGAGCGGGAGGCGGACGGGAGAGUAAUGUAUGGGGAUCUGCCUGAUGGAGGGGGAUAACUACUGGAAACGGUAGCCAAUACCGCAUACCAGCAGAUGGACCCAGAUGGGAGUAGCUUGUAGGUGAGGUAACGGCUCACCUAGGCGACGAUCCGGAGCUGGUCUGAGAGGAUGAUCAGCCACACUGGGACUGAGACACGGCCCAGACUCCUACGGGAGGCAGCAGUGGGGAAUAUUGGACAAUGGGCGAAAGCCUGAUGCAGCCAUGCCGCGUGUGUGAAGAAGGCCUUCGGAUUGUAAAGCACUUUCAGUCGGGAGGCGUUACCGACAGAAGAAGCACCGGCUAACUCCGUGCCAGCAGCCGCGGUAAUUC